rnacentral:lncRNA from 10 species
GAUUCAUGCAAGGCCCUCGGGUGAGGGACUGUCGAUCCCGACAGCCAUGCCAGCGCAGGGCCAAGAAAGAAUGUCCUGGAAGGGUGGGGAUGGGUUGGGCUUUCUGAACCCUCCCACCUCAGGAAGGCAAAAGACACAGAUCACAGGCAGCAAGGGGCUGCCAUUUCUGAUGCUUAUACCCUCCACGGUGGCUACAGGAGCCCGCACCAGCAGUGGGAGGAGCAACAUUCCAGAAGCUGCUUCUCUCUGCACCGAUGCAGAAACUGUGCCUGCCAGAUAGUAAUGAUCCAGCCGAGGGCACCAGGCUACAAUUUGCAGAACUGGACUGAAGAAUGGCUGACAUAGCCAGCUGCAGUGGCUCAUGCUUGUAAUCCCAACAGUUUAGGAGGCCAAAGCAGGAGGAUCACUUGAAGUCAUGAGUUCAAGACCAGCCUGAGCAACAUGGCAAGACCCCAUCUCUAUAAAAAAUACAAUAAUUAGCAGGGCAUGGUCGCACAUGUCUGUAGUCCCAGCUGCUUGGUAGGCUGAGGCGGAUGGAUCAUUUCAGCCCAGGAGGCAAGACUGCAGUGAGCCAUGAGUAUGCCACUGCACUCCAGCCUGGGUGACAAAAGAAAAAAAAAAUAGAAUGGAUGAUAUAAACUUUAUUGUUUACUGUGGGGUUGCGGUGGGGGGAGGCGUUAGUUCGUUCUUCUUUCUCUCAAUACCUUUACAAAGUCUCUGUUUCAAAAGAGAGCGCAGAUUAUGCCUGCUACCCCAAGUCCUGAGUCAGAAUUCAAAGGCAAAUAUGGUAGGGUGAUGAGGCAGAAAGGACUUAGGCAGCAGGAGAGCUGUGAUUGGUGGAAGGGGCAGGCAGGAAGAGUUUGGGUUUGGAGACACUGGUUGCUGAGUCAGAACUCCAGCUCUGUCAUUGCCUGUGUGACUUUGGGCAAGUUACAUGUGAUUGUUGGAGCUUCCAUUUCAUUUGCUAAAUAAUUGGGAUCAUAAUACAUACAACGUGGAGUUGUUAGGAUGUCACGAGAGAAUGCACAAGAAGUAAGUACUCCCGAAUUGAGCUAUUAUCUACCUCAAAGGAUUACUGGAGAAAUAGAAAAGGGAUAUAAAGAAACACAGCAAAGAUGCUUCAUAAAAGGUAAUUAUUAUUAUUGUUAUGAACACCCUUUGAAAUUGGUUAUUCAUUUUCUGAAAGCCACUCAAAGAUUCCGUUCGUAUCGCAGAAGAAUUGGAUAAAUGAUUUCUUUGAUAAACUAGCUUUUCACCUAGGGGAUCUGGUUUGCUGAUCCUACCCAGAUUAGAAUGACUGAAAAUCAAUUUGAUUUGACAGCUGUGGAGAAAAGGAAAUGCACGUACUAACUGUCAAGCAACGCAGCUCCUCGGUGCGGAUACAAAGCAAGGCACGGAAAGGGUCCUGCUGUCUGGGAUCUUGCUGCCUGGUCACCCAUCACGGGUGACAAGAUCCGACCUCCUUCCUGCUGCACUGAUGCCCCAUGGGCCAGCAAAUGCCCACCAAAGGCCAGGCACUGAGGUUCUGGCCUGUUUCUCUGCUUCUGGGGCCUGGCCUUGGAGACUCACCCUAGACUUGCAAACUCUUUCAAAAGUGUUCUUUGUUCCUAUGUAGCACCCAUAGCAAUCACUCAAAGACAGAAAUGACUGGGGUCUGAGAGCUGCAGCUGCAAGAAAGAGGAAGGGAGAUGAAAGGAAAUCCCGCCACCUGCUCCUUGCCACAAGAAUAGAUGACUCGAGCCCCUGCUCCCUUUUGGCCUCCCCUCCACUGAACCCCCAUUUCUGGAUUCCCAUAUUCUUCCAGGUCUCAAAUGCUCCAGGCAUGUCCAACUGCCAAACUCCUGAAAUGAAACAUCCUCUGAAGUCACAAGGCAUAGAUUGGGCCACUGUAGUCCUCCUGUGACCCCAGGAAAGGCCCCUGGCCUCCUCAAGCCUCAGUUUCCAUGUUUGUCAAGUGGGGAGAAUAAAGCAGCACUAGCACUGCCUGCCUCAUGGUUCUACUGUAAGAAUCAUGGGGCAGGUUGAAGGCAGAGGGACUUCCUCGGCUCAGUGUGCCUUCAAGUGGGAGCUGGGGAGUAUUAGCCAUGUUCCAGAGCACUGCAAAUGCGCUCCUUUAAGAGUAGAGACGCUACCUGUGGACCUCAUUUUCACUGUCAUUUUUCCAUGUGUUCUGAUUUUGUCCUAUUUGCCACAAGAGAGGGAUGGGGUUCUCACUGCGUCAACUCCACAGAGGGCUGUUCUCCCUGAGUUUUUAGCAUAAGUAACCCAGGACCCAAAUGAGGAAUUUGGGUGUUUAGAGGUCCUCUUAUGGGUUUAUUUUGAACUAGCUGCUAAGAAUAAUCAUUAAUCAUCAUGAAAUAAGUAAAUUGUGGGAUGCCGCCCAUGCAGCCUGCCAUAUGGAGUUGCCACUGUUAGAAGCAGGAUCUUCUCACAGCAAUAUCUGCCCCUGGAGAAGGACAUCUGCCAUUUGCCUUUUUUGUUUGUUUGUUUUAUUCCCUCCUCUCUCUCUCUUUUAUCUUCAUAUACCAUCAGUUUCUUUCCUAAUCAAUAAGCCUCAUGGACCAUCUACUAUUAUCUCAGUUUGAGCUAUUUUGCUUAUUUUUUUUUUAGUACAAACUACCUGGAAUUCCUACAUACUACUUAGCCUAUAUUUAAAGCCAGAUCCUUCUAAACAUGCCCUCCAAGUUUGAAGAAUAUCCGUUCAACCAGUUUUAUUUACACAAAAAGAGAGGCUUGUUUAAUUUAUAGGGAUAUGUAUUGUAACUAUCUGUCUCCACCCUAGAAAAAAUGCUGUCCUAGACAGCCCUGGACAAGUUGCUGAACUGUGUUCCAAGAAAGUGCUAGUUACUUGUCAUUUAUUGAGAAUACCCUUUGUUUAAAGAAAACUGAAAGCAUACCAGGCAUUGUGGUAAUAUCUUGUUUAGUCAUCAGCACCUCCUCCAACAGUUAGGUACUAUUAUGAUUCCAUUUUACAGGUGAGGAAAAUGAGAGUAGAGAGGAUGAGACAAUGAGAGUAGGAGGGAUGAGGCAGGUUUCUCAGAACCGCAAGCUCAUAAGUAAGAGCCAGGGUGCAAAUCAAGGCCUUCAAUCCACUUUCCAGGAGGCCUGCUGAUGAACUCACAAUGCUCUCCUACAAAAGGCCUGUGGGCUAGGUGCUGGUAUUGUCCUCAUUUUACAGAGCAGGGGGUGAGCUCAGAGAACCUUGGGUGUGAUGAGUUGAGUAAGGAGAGAUGAAAGAUGCUCUUGAACCUCAGCACACAGAGGUGGCCUCCAGGCUUCAAAUGGAUACUUUAUAUUUCUAUUAGUAACGUUACCUGCUACUAUAUUAUGCGAAUUGACUGGAUAGGUUUUCACUGAGUUUGGAAAGUAAGAGUGUGGGAUGGUUUUACUUAAACUAUAGGAUGUGGUGUACAUGUGAAAUAGAUCUUUGGGUUCUAACAUCUUUGGUACAUGUGAAAUAGAUCUUGGGGCCUCCAAGACAUAAUAACACCUAGGACCAACCACCCUCUCAGCAACUGAAGAACACUUUGUGUUUGAUUAUGCGUAAGAUUGUUUAAUCAAUCGCUUUUUUCCCCUGUCACAAUAUUCCACCUUCACGAAGUGUCUUUCAUCUUGGAUCUCCAAAACAGGAGUAAAAGCUGUAAUUAGUUGCAAUGACUGUUGUGUUUUUAAUAGUUACCUGCUGUAAUGUCCAUUUGACAGAUGAAGGGGCUGAGGCUUUGGGUCAGAGUAUGAUAUGCUAAAUGUGGAGAUCCAAGACAGAAGCUAGCCAAGUUCCUCCCACCCUGGAGAGCAGGGCUCCCGGGAGCCCUACAGGAAGCCUUGAUAUGUCACAGAACAAAAAGCACCAUAGAUGGUUUCAGCCUGUCUCCUCCUGCCUUGAGGCAGGGCUCAAGAUUCUUUCUGGAUUGAGAAAAAUAGUUGACUUUCCACCGCAUUUUAAAACAGCAGCUAAAGGCCCAUACUUCAGAACUCAUUUGGGUGAUUAUAGGAAUGAUGAAGUCAUGACAAUUUCAUCAUCGGGAAGGCCUGCCAUGUCUUGGCAAUGAAGAAGGUGGCAGCCAGACUGAAGGGAAGAGGGGCUGCAAGACUUGGAGUUGGUGAUGGCAACCCUGGAGAGGAAAGGAACAUGGCCAAGAGGUUGGGAUUCAUGCUAGAUCAAGAAGGAAGAACCCAGAAGCAGCCCAGAGGCUUCACAGCUACAUAAGAAAAAAAAGGGGGCCAGGCACGAUGCCUCAUGCCUGUAAUCCAGCACUUUGGGAGCCUGAGGCGGGUGGAUCACGAGGUCAGGAGUUCGAGAGCAGCCUGACCAACACAGUGAAACCCUGUCUCCACUGAGAAUACAAAAAUUAGCCAGGCAUGGUGGCACACGCCUGUAAUCCCAGCUACUCAGGAGGCUGAGGCAGGAGAAUCCAGGAGGCGGAACUGCGGUGGGCAGAGAUCACGCCACUGUACUCUAUUCUGGGUGACAGAGUAAGACUCCAUCUCAAAAAAAAAAAAAGGAUGUGACUAUUGCCAAAACCAACUUGUAAAACAUCACCAUGAUAUGUCACCAAGCUACCUACGAGAUGCUGGGCAUACCUUCGGUGGAAGAAAGAAACAGCUAUACAACUUUGGGUUGCUUCAUUUUUCUCUUGCAUUUCUAGUUCAGGUUGGUUUUGGUGUUCUGUUGUUGUUGUUGUUUUGCAUUCCAAAAAAAAUAAAAAAUAA